rnacentral:rRNA from 1 species
AUUGAACGCUGGCGGCAGGCCUAACACAUGCAAGUCGAACGGUAACAGGAAGAAGCUUGCUUCUUUGCUGACGAGUGGCGGACGGGUGAGUAAUGUCUGGGAAACUGCCUGAUGGAGGGGGAUAACUACUGGAAACGGUAGCUAAUACCGCAUAACGUCGCAAGACCAAAGAGGGGGACCUUCGGGCCUCUUGCCAUCGGAUGUGCCCAGAUGGGAUUAGCUAGUAGGUGGGGUAACGGCUCACCUAGGCGACGAUCCCUAGCUGGUCUGAGAGGAUGACCAGCAAAACUGGAACUGAGACACGGUCCAGACUCCUACGGGAGGCAGCAGUGGGGAAUAUUGCACAAUGGGCGCAAGCCUGAUGCAGCCAUGCCGCGUGUAUGAAGAAGGCCUUCGGGUUGUAAAGUACUUUCAGCGGGGAGGAAGGGAGUAAAGUUAAUACCUUUGCUCAUUGACGUUACCCGCAGAAGAAGCACCGGCUAACUCCGUG